rnacentral:rRNA from 1 species
CUUCCGAGGCCCCGUGAUUGGAAUGAGUACACUUUAAAUCCUUUAACGAGGAACCAUUGGAGGGCAAGUCUGGUGCCAGCAGCCGCGGUAACUCCAGCUCCAAUAGCGUAUAUUAAAGUUGUUGCGGUUAAAAAGCUCGUAGUCGGAUGUCUGUCUUCGGCCGGGCGGCGCCGCUCUGAAUCAAGGGUGUUGCGUUUCACGCUCUGGGAGCCCGGGUGUCAAAGCCCGACUCUCUUCACGGUCGGACAACAUCGCCGGAGUGGUGGUCGGUGCGUCGUUGUUGUAUCUGCGGCCAGAGUUGGAAAGUUCUUUCGGGUUCUUUUUUAAUUUUGGUCGUAGUUGACUCGAUUCGCUCCACCCAGUCAAUCGUUCGGGGUGCCCUUCACCGGGUGUCUCGGGCGGCCGGCAACGUUUACUUUGAACAAAUUAGAGUGCUCAAAGCAGGUGUAUCCCAACGCCUGAAUAUCGCAGCAUGGAAUGAUGGAAUAGGACCUCGGUCCGAUUUUGCUGGUCUUUUACUUUUGGACCCGAGGUAAUGGUCAAUAGAGACGGACGGGGGCAUUCGUACUGCGGCGACAGAGGUGAAAUUCUUGGACCGCCGCAAGACGAACAACAGCGAAGGCAUUUGCCAAGAAUGUUUUCCUUGAUCAAGAACGAAAGUUAGAGGUUCGAAGGCGAUCAGAUACCGCCCUAGUUCUAACCAUAAACGAUGCCAACCAGCAAUCCGUCGGAGUUACUCCAAUGACUCGACGGGCAGCUUCCGGGAAACCAAAGUCUUUGGGUUCCGGGGGAAGUAUGGUUGCAAAGCUGAAACUUAAAGGAAUUGACGGAAGGGCACCACCAGGAGUGGAGCCUGCGGCUUAAUUUGACUCAACACGGGAAACCUCACCAGGCCCGGACACUGGAAGGAUUGACAGAUUGAGAGCUCUUUCUUGAUUCGGUGGGUGGUGGUGCAUGGCCGUUCUUAGUUGGUGGAGCGAUUUGUCUGGUUAAUUCCGAUAACGAACGAGACUCUAGCCUGCUAAAUAGGUGACGGGUUUUAUCAAUUGAAACCGAAGGGAGUACGGAGGCGUCGGGAUCAGGUGGCGGCGAUUCGGGUCUCGGUGGGACUGGUUCCUUUAGUGAGGCAAUCUCUCGGCUUGGUUUCGUUGUGCUUUGUUCGUCGGGUGUACGGCCUUCACGGGUUGGUUGCCUGGCGGAUGAGGUAUGGCGGGGCCUUGUCGGGAAUGUCUCGCGGGGGCUGGCUCUAUUGUUAUUCGGUCGUCGUCAUCCCCGGCGAUACCUUCUGCUCUCGCGUCCGUCACGCAGUCUUCUUAGAGGGACAAGCGGCGUCCAGCCGCGUGACAGUGAGCAAUAACAGGUCUGUGAUGCCCUUAGAUGUCCUGGGCCGCACGCGCGCUACACUGAAGGAAUCAGCGUGUUUCACUCUCCCUGUCCGAAAGGACCGGGUAACCGCUGAACCUCCUUCGUGGUUGGGAUUGGGGACUGCAAUGAUCCCCAUGAACCAGGAAUCCCUAGUAGGCGCGGGUCACUAGCCCGCGUCGAUUACGUCCCUGCCCUUUGUACACACCGCCCGUCGCUACUACCGAUUGAAUGAUUUAGUGAGGCCUUCGGACGGGCUUGUCGGGGUGCCGUCGAGUGGGGAGCAAUCUCUGCCCGUGCGGUGCCUACCAACGGCGAGACUGAAAGAUGGUCGAACUUGAUCCUUUAGAGGAAGUAAAAGUCGUAACAAGGUUUCCGUAGGUGAACCUGCGGAAG